CCUACGGGAGGCAGCAGUGAGGAAUAUUGGUCAAUGGCCGGAAGUCUGAACCAGCCAAGCCGCGUGCGGGAGGAAGGCGCAGUGCGUCGCAGACCUCUUUUGCCGGGGGACAAACCUCCGUACGUGUCCGGUUCUGCGGGUACCCUGCGAAAAAGCAUCGGCUAACUCCGUGCCAGCAGCCGCGGUAAUACGGAGGAUGCGAGCGUUAUCCGGAUUCAUUGGGUUUAAAGGGUGCGCAGGCGGGACUUUAAGCUGGCGGUGAAAUCGCGGGGCUAAACCCGGCAGAGCCGUCGGAACUGGGGGCCUUGAGUGCGGCGGAGGCAUGCGGAAUGCGCGGUGUAGCGGUGAAAUGCAUAGAUAUCGCGCAGAACCCCGAUUGCGAAGGCAGCGUGCCGUGCCGCAACUGACGCUGAGGCACGAAAGCGCGGGGAUCGAACAGGAUUAGAUACCCUUGUAGUC
rnacentral:rRNA from 1 species